GCACAUUAUGCCAUUUUACAGUACUCAUUUAGGGACAGUAUGGUCACCGGCAAAUACAUUUCUAUUUUUGCGAUUCUAUUUAUAGUUUCCCAUGCCACGGCGAGAAUUAUAAAAAUUGAGCGUUUCCCGGGUGAUGAUGCUGCAAUAGAAAGGAGGAUUAUAUUUCCGACACCAUUCAAUGCUCCACUACAGCCAUUGAUCAAAGCGAAAACACCUAUUUUGGACAUGGCUGCUGAAAUUCCACCUGAGGUUCCCGCCAAUUAUUAUUAAUGACAUUACAAGAGAAAAAAGAAAUUUAUACUUUUAAAUUUUAUUGAGAUAUAAUAAUUGGUUUGGAUGUAGUUUGAAAUUUAGAAUAUUAAAAAUUUAAUUAACUUGUAUA
rnacentral:sRNA from 1 species